UACAGAGGUCUCAAGCGUUGUUCGGAUUCAUUGGGCGUAAAGGGUGCGUAGGCGGCGCGGUAAGUCGGGUGUGAAAUCUUGGAGCUUAACUCCGAAACUGCAUUCGAUACUGCCGUGCUUGAGGACUGGAGAGGAGACUGGAAUUUACGGUGUAGCGGUGGAAUGCGUAGAUAUCGUAAGGAAGACCAGUGGCGAAGGCGGGUCUCUGGACAGUUCCUGACGGCUGGG
rnacentral:rRNA from 1 species